rnacentral:rRNA from 1 species
UUAAGCGACUAAGCGUACACGGUGGAUGCCCUGGCAGUCAGAGGCGAUGAAGGACGUGCUAAUCUGCGAUAAGCGUCGGUAAGGUGAUAUGAACCGUUAUAACCGGCGAUUUCCGAAUGGGGAAACCCAGUGUGAUUCGUCACACUAUCAUUAACUGAAUCCAUAGGUUAAUGAGGCGAACCGGGGGAACUGAAACAUCUAAGUACCCCGAGGAAAAGAAAUCAACCGAGAUUCCCCCAGUAGCGGCGAGCGAACGGGGAGCAGCCCAGAGCCUGAAUCAGUGUGUGUGUUAGUGGAAGCGUCUGGAAAGGCGUGCGAUACAGGGUGACAGCCCCGUACACAAAAAUGCACAUACUGUGAGCUCGAUGAGUAGGGCGGGACACGUGGUAUCCUGUCUGAAUAUGGGGGGACCAUCCUCCAAGGCUAAAUACUCCUGACUGACCGAUAGUGUACCAGUACCGUGAGGGAAAGGCGAAAAGAACCCCGGCGAGGGGAGUGAAAAAGAACCUGAAACCGUGUACGUACAAGCAGUGGGAGCACGCUUAGGCGUGUGACUGCGUACCUUUUGUAUAAUGGGUCAGCGACUUAUAUUCUGUAGCAAGGUUAACCGAAUAGGGGAGCCGAAGGGAAACCGAGUCUUAACUGGGCGUUAAGUUGCAGGGUAUAGACCCGAAACCCGGUGAUCUAGCCAUGGGCAGGUUGAAGGUUGGGUAACACUAACUGGAGGACCGAACCGACUAAUGUUGAAAAAUUAGCGGAUGACUUGUGGCUGGGGGUGAAAGGCCAAUCAAACCGGGAGAUAGCUGGUUCUCCCCGAAAGCUAUUUAGGUAGCGCCUCGUGAAUUCAUCUCCGGGGGUAGAGCACUGUUUCGGCAAGGGGGUCAUCCCGACUUACCAACCCGAUGCAAACUGCGAAUACCGGAGAAUGUUAUCACGGGAGACACACGGCGGGUGCUAACGUCCGUCGUGAAGAGGGAAACAACCCAGACCGCCAGCUAAGGUCCCAAAGUCAUGGUUAAGUGGGAAACGAUGUGGGAAGGCCCAGACAGCCAGGAUGUUGGCUUAGAAGCAGCCAUCAUUUAAAGAAAGCGUAAUAGCUCACUGGUCGAGUCGGCCUGCGCGGAAGAUGUAACGGGGCUAAACCAUGCACCGAAGCUGCGGCAGCGACGCUUAUGCGUUGUUGGGUAGGGGAGCGUUCUGUAAGCCUGUGAAGGUGUGCUGUGAGGUAUGCUGGAGGUAUCAGAAGUGCGAAUGCUGACAUAAGUAACGAUAAAGCGGGUGAAAAGCCCGCUCGCCGGAAGACCAAGGGUUCCUGUCCAACGUUAAUCGGGGCAGGGUGAGUCGACCCCUAAGGCGAGGCCGAAAGGCGUAGUCGAUGGGAAACAGGUUAAUAUUCCUGUACUUGGUGUUACUGCGAAGGGGGGACGGAGAAGGCUAUGUUGGCCGGGCGACGGUUGUCCCGGUUUAAGCGUGUAGGCUGGUUUUCCAGGCAAAUCCGGAAAAUCAAGGCCGAGGCGUGAUGACGAGGCACUACGGUGCUGAAGCAACAAAUGCCCCUGCUUCCAGGAAAAGCCUCUAAGCAUCAGGUAACAUCAAAUCGUACCCCAAACCGACACAGGUGGUCAGGUAGAGAAUACCAAGGCGCUUGAGAGAACUCGGGUGAAGGAACUAGGCAAAAUGGUGCCGUAACUUCGGGAGAAGGCACGCUGAUACGUAGGUGAAGCGACUUGCUCGUGGAGCUGAAAUCAGUCGAAGAUACCAGCUGGCUGCAACUGUUUAUUAAAAACACAGCACUGUGCAAACACGAAAGUGGACGUAUACGGUGUGACGCCUGCCCGGUGCCGGAAGGUUAAUUGAUGGGGUUAGCGCAAGCGAAGCUCUUGAUCGAAGCCCCGGUAAACGGCGGCCGUAACUAUAACGGUCCUAAGGUAGCGAAAUUCCUUGUCGGGUAAGUUCCGACCUGCACGAAUGGCGUAAUGAUGGCCAGGCUGUCUCCACCCGAGACUCAGUGAAAUUGAACUCGCUGUGAAGAUGCAGUGUACCCGCGGCAAGACGGAAAGACCCCGUGAACCUUUACUAUAGCUUGACACUGAACAUUGAGCCUUGAUGUGUAGGAUAGGUGGGAGGCUUUGAAGUGUGGACGCCAGUCUGCAUGGAGCCGACCUUGAAAUACCACCCUUUAAUGUUUGAUGUUCUAACGUGGACCCGUGAUCCGGGUUGCGGACAGUGUCUGGUGGGUAGUUUGACUGGGGCGGUCUCCUCCUAAAGAGUAACGGAGGAGCACGAAGGUUGGCUAAUCCUGGUCGGACAUCAGGAGGUUAGUGCAAUGGCAUAAGCCAGCUUGACUGCGAGCGUGACGGCGCGAGCAGGUGCGAAAGCAGGUCAUAGUGAUCCGGUGGUUCUGAAUGGAAGGGCCAUCGCUCAACGGAUAAAAGGUACUCCGGGGAUAACAGGCUGAUACCGCCCAAGAGUUCAUAUCGACGGCGGUGUUUGGCACCUCGAUGUCGGCUCAUCACAUCCUGGGGCUGAAGUAGGUCCCAAGGGUAUGGCUGUUCGCCAUUUAAAGUGGUACGCGAGCUGGGUUUAGAACGUCGUGAGACAGUUCGGUCCCUAUCUGCCGUGGGCGCUGGAGAACUGAGGGGGGCUGCUCCUAGUACGAGAGGACCGGAGUGGACGCAUCACUGGUGUUCGGGUUGUCAUGCCAAUGGCACUGCCCGGUAGCUAAAUGCGGAAGAGAUAAGUGCUGAAAGCAUCUAAGCACGAAACUUGCCCCGAGAUGAGUUCUCCCUGACCCUUUAAGGGUCCUGAAGGAACGUUGAAGACGACGACGUUGAUAGGCCGGGUGUGUAAGCGCAGCGAUGCGUUGAGCUAACCGGUACUAAUGAACCGUGAGGCUUAACCUU